GUUAAAUAAUCUGCUCCUCGAGGGAAUUACAAAUGAGGCACUGAAGGCGACGGGCGAUGUGCAAGAGCGGGUGAUGAAAGCAUUAGAUAAAGAAAAUGCUCCUAUGCCAGCAAAAAUGCUGGUUUGUAACUACUGAUUAAAAAUUAAUUCAAUCUAUUCUAUUCUAUUUUUAUUUAUUUCUUUAGUCUAAAAAAUCUUCUUAAUCAUAUUAAUGUAUUCUAAAAAA